GCGUAGGGUAAGUAGGUUGUGAAAAAAUGAGAAAAUAAAAUACUAGAUAAUCAUCUUUUUAUGUUUUCUUACUAUUUCACUGAAUCUCAAACGGGACGAUGGUAUUUUUAGGGAGUGGUUAAAUAUAAGAUAUAAAAAGGACCGACAGUGGUGAAAGCAAUUUUCUUGUUGAGUAUUGAGCUAAUAUACGAAGGCAGGGGAGCAAAGAGGAUUAGACACCCUCGUAGUCCGUGUGUCAACGCUGAGUUUUCAAUGUAGGAAUCAUCUUUUUGUUUAAUUUUUAAAAAUUGACGACUGUUAAAAAGUGAUAUAAUAACUGGUAAGACCGGUCAGGUACUUCAGUAUAUUGUAUUGUUUUAAUAGGUAAGUUUACUUAAAAGAUAUAAUUCUUGGUAUUUGCGUAACGCAUUAAAUUCUCCGCUGGGAAGUACGGCCGCAGGUUGAAACUCAAAAGAAUUGAGGUGACUUGUACAAGG
rnacentral:rRNA from 1 species